UCCGGAGGGUGCAAACGUUGCUCGGAAUCAUUGGGCGUAAAGCGCACGUAGGCGGUCUGUUAAGUCGGAUGUGAAAGCCCCGGGCUCAACCCGGGAAGUGCAUACGAAACUGGCGGACUUGAAUAUGGAAGAGGGUCGCGGAAUUCCCGGUGUAGAGGUGAAAUUCGUAGAUAUCGGGAGGAACACCAGUGGCGAAGGCGGCGACCUGGGCCAAUAUUGACGCUAAUGUGCGAAAGCGUGGGGAGCAAACAGG
rnacentral:rRNA from 1 species